rnacentral:RNase_P_RNA from 1 species
AGGGCGUGUCGGGCGGUCGCUUCGUUCUCGUUUCGGGAGCGGGGAGGAAAGUCCGAGCAGGACAGGGCACGGUGACGGCUAACAGCCGCCGCCCCCGCGCUUGCUUUCGCAAGAAAGCAGCGGGGGUCGGGAUAGUGCCACAGAAAAUACACAGCCCACGUCCCGGGUAACCGGGGCAGGCAAUGGUGAAAUGGUGCGGUAAGAGCGCACCGCGGGCCUGGUAACAGUCCCGGCAGGGCAAACCCCACCGCCUGUAAGACCAAGCAGCCGGCUUGUCUCGCCCCUUUGGGGCGGGCGCCCGGCCCGGGCAUUGCCGGCGGGUAGGUCGCUUGAGCCGAUUGGCAACAGUCGGCCCAGAUAAAUGACCGUCUAAAACAGAACUCGGCUUACGGACCCGCCCUUUCG